AUGCACCGCUACUUUCCCUCAGCUGUCUCAUUUAGCAUCUUGUUUGCUUUUGUCUCAUACCAUUCUCCUUACCUUUCUUUUCUUUUUCCCCAGAGAGCCUUGCUUGCUGACUCUCCCAAUGGCUUUGCUGAGGUUUCGAUGCCCAACUCUUGUGAGUGUGGUGAGCCUUGGGGACUGUUCACAUUCAAGCAAUCCUAUGGGACAGCUGUGAUGGCGUUAGCUGGCUUCCAAAUAUCCCAACUGUGCUGGAGAAAGUUGGUCACCAAUUCUGGACUCAAGGAAAGUCAACAGCUUUGAAGCGGUUGAUGUGGCAUUUCUACUUCUGGACUUUUAGGAACUCUUCCUUGAUUUUGCAGAGAAUCUGUUCAAAUGUACUCAGUGGUUGUUGAGAUCCGAGGUUGCCUGUCACACCAAUAAAAUCUUUCUGUUUCCUUCUCCAUGGUUUUGGAAUGAGAAACACCUCAUGGCUCACUGCAGCAGGAGAGAAAGCUUCAGUGACACAGCUGCUGAGUGCAGGUUCGAAUAACUGUGGUUUUAAGAACAUCUCCAAUCCAUGUCGUGAAGGAAGGGCUCUGGGAAUGGGGCGAUCAGGCAGAAUUGGUCAGUGGUGUACCUGUGACACACAGAGCAGCCGGAGCUGCCCCACAGGGAGGGGAGAGCACAGAGCUGAUGUGUUAAGUGUGAGGUGUAUGUGUGGGAAUGGGCUGGGAACCAGCUGA
rnacentral:lncRNA from 1 species